ensembl:lncRNA
UUUUUUUAUGCUAGGGUAGCUAGAUGUGUGUUUUAAUGCUAGGGUAGCUAGAUGUGUGUUUUAAUGCUAGGGUAGCUGUGUGUUUUUUAAUGCUAGGGUAGCUAGAUGUGUUUUUUUAUGGUAGGGUAGCUAGAUAUGUGGUUUUUAUGGUAGGGUAGCUAGAUGUGUUUUUUUAUGGUAGGGUAGCUAGCUGUGGUUUUUUAUGGUAGGGUAGCUAGAUGUGGGUUUUUAUGGUAGGGUAGCUAGAUGUGGUUUUUAUGGUAGGGUAGCUAGAUGUGGUUUUUUAUGGUAGGGUAGCUAGAUGUGUUUUUUUAUGGUAGGGUAGCUAGAUGUGGGUAGCUAUGGUAGGGUAGCUAGAUGUGGUUUUUUAUGGUAGGGUAGCUAGAUGUGGUUUUUUAUGGUAGGGUAGCUAGAUGUGGUUUUUAUGGUAGGGUAGCUAGAUGUGGUUUUUUAUGGUAGGGUAGCUAGAUGUGGUUUUUUAUGGUAGGGUAGCUAGAUGUGGUUU